rnacentral:misc_RNA from 1 species
AAAAAAUAUCAUUAUGAAAAUAUUAAUUUAAAACAAUGAAUAAAAUAUCAAUAAAUUAUUAGCUAAAUUAAAAAAUAUAUAUUUAUUAAAAAAAUUAGGUUGUUACAGAAAGGAAAUACCAAAUCUUUACAGAAGAAGAGACUAAAUUCUCUCAAAGGAGGCAACAAAACUUGAAUCUAUCAAUAAGAAUAGACUGAGGACAAAUACUAAUCCAAAAAGAUAUAAAUCUAGAAAUUAUUAGGAAAAUAAAAAAGAAAAAAGGUGAUGGGUAACCACCGAUAAAAAUACUCACCAUAGGUAAUCCUAAAAGGUUUAGAAGAAAAAGAAAAAGAGACAAGAAAGAGAGAGAAAGAGAGAGUUUAAAG